GAUGGGGUUUUCUAAAUAUACAAUCAUGUCAUCUGCAAACAGAGACAAUUUGAAUUCUCCAUUUUCUGGUGUUAUGUUCCCUAGUGUCCCAGAUAUCAUCAGCUUUUAGUUAUGAUAUUGUCCUAGCAGUGUUAAUGCUGGGACUGCCAGGAAUUAAUGCCUCACCUGAACCUCUUGCUAAGCCCCUUUCCCCAGGUAUUUCUGCAACUUCUCCAGUGAUCUUUUACGCCUACCCUUGAAAGUCCUGCUUGUAUCUCCCUGUGGCUCCUGUUGCUGUGGAAACCAGCUGCCCUCAUUAUUAGUGGAACCUCUAUUCCUCCAUAUUCUGUGAGCAAUCCUGGAAACUUUUUUCAGAGGCUGACCCCUUCCUCAUCUACGACUUCAUCUACCACCACAAGAAAAAGAAAAACCAAUGAAAUAAAAAAUGUGAGGUGACAUUUUCAAUUUUGUCCUGCCUCAAUGUAAUGGAAACCCUUUACCUUCACUUCCAGUGAGUAAGUGGCCAGUUGCUAUGAUUGGUAGGUUCCAUUGCCCCCCUGAGAUGCUGGGAAAGGGACAAAUCAUAAAUGCUACUCAAUAAUUCUGAUUUUAGUGAGAUUUUUCUCUCCACCCAGGAGAUGCCUACAAAAUGAUUCAUGGGUGCUUUGAACAGGAUUGGCCAACUCUUAUUUCAAGAGAAUUGAGAAAAGGAGAUUUAUGAUGACACAGUCUGCCUGUUUUCCAGGCUGAUGUUUGCAAUAUGUUUUAGAGAGCAGGUCAGUUCUGCUGCUAUUUCAUUCUCCUGGCAGGCCUUUGCCUUCUACACGGCAGGGUCCCUUCAUGUGGGAAAUUAGCUAACAAACUUGAGAUUGGCAAGAAAGACAGGCAUGUAAAUUCAAUGUAAUAAAGAAUGCAUUAAGGCAAACUUUCAUAAAAACUAAAAAAUAUGCACUUAUUUUUGACAAUGCAUGAUUAUAUACCCAAUGACAAUGGGUUACAUGAAUAAAGGGUUCAUACGUGCUGAUUUCUGGAAUGUCUGCCGUCCCACUAUCCUUUUUCAUUUUACCCGCUCUAACACCUCCUCUUUCAUGCUUAGAUUGGGAAAAGAAAUGUAAAAUGAAGCACGACAGGAAAGAUCGUUCAUCGGGUUCAGGAGGAGCUGAGGCAAAUUCUCAAUGACUCAUUUGAUGGAUGAUAGUUGUGCUGUAGGCUGACCUGAUUACAAGUGCAAUGAAAUCACAAGGAGGAAAUUAAAAAAUAAAACUUCCCACCAGAACAUUUAUUCUCAAGAUAAAUCGGGAAACAAUAUCUGUGAAUAUGAUUAAUGGAUAAACCCAAAGAUGAUUCCUCUGUCAUCUCUUUUUUGAACUGACUGUCAGAGUUAAUGAAAAUAAUAUAAGGGCUAACUAAAACAAACAAUGACAUCUCUGAAACAAACUUCUCCUGAAUGGAAUAUCACAGCUGCCAUAGAAGUAGUCAUUUCGUAUUUGUG